AGCACGCACAGUUUCCUUUUGUUCUUUCUUCAUGAAAGAAAGGAACAGAAGCAAAAGAAAAACGAGAUAGAGGGGAGAAGAGGGAGGCGGCGCGGUGGGAGUCACUGCCAUCGUCGCCGCCGUCGUUAACAAAGAGGAAGGGAGAUCUGAACGAGAAGAGAGUGAGUGACGCGAGGGAGGGAGAUGAGGCUUCGUUGCCGUCACGCUCUGCCGCACGCGGGGAGCGCCGCUGUCGAAGCCAUGCCCUGCGUCCCUGCCCGGUCGCGAUUCUGCCACUGCCAACUCUGCCGUCACUGCUUCCAUAACCUCCAACAGCACUGCUGUUGUCGACGAUAGAGCUGCCGCGAAGAGGAGGAAGGGCGCUGCUUCAAGCCUCGCCGCCAUCGCUGCUCUGAAAGGGUCUGUAGUGGUCGCCGUCGAGCAUGACAGGUGGAUGCGAAGGAGAACUCGCGUCUGAGUCUGGGAGGAGGUGGGGAUCCGCCGCUGUCGCCAGUGGAGGCCACUGCUGUGCAACGGACGUGUGAGAGGGAAGCAAGAUGAAUCCUUUCUGCUUCUGGUGCUCUGGUCUGCCGCCGCCGCCGCCGGGAUCCUUGGGCGCUGCCAUUGUUCUUGUCGCCAUUAAAGAAAGCUAACUGCUGCUGCCAUUCAGAUCCGCCACAGUCUCUGUCGGGAGCCACCAUGGGAGCCGUGGAAGGAGGGGUUUCUGCCACCUUUGAAACUCCACUACUGUUGUUGUCAUGGCUGCCACGCCUUUGGCUGCCGGGAUCGGUAUUGUGGCCGCCAGAAACUGUUUUUCUUGGGUUGAGUUCCGAUAAAUGUGCAUCGAAACUAAGGUGGUUGUUGAGCCACCGGAGCUUUCUGCCGCUACGGGGCUGUUGUCAGGUCGGUUCGGAGUCGCAGUUGUUCCUUUGUGUUAUUUCGUGUUGCUAUGGUUGUUGCGAACGUGACUGGGAGCUGAGGUUUUGGCUGCCGGAAUUGUGAUUGUGGAUUUCGAGUUGAGACGGAAAGGACUCUGUGAGACGUUUGGGUUAUGGAUUUGCGUUUUGAGGAUUUGGGCGCAGAAGUUAUGAAGAGUUUAUUUAGUUGUUGUUGUGAUGUUCUGUAUUGCUUUAGAUUAUUAAUUAUUGUACCCUCGCCUUUAUCUUGAUAUAUUCUAUAAGAGGGAUAGAAAUUGUAUUGGUUAAUGUCUGUAAUAUUAUUUGUAUAUGUAUGUAUAUAUAUGGAUGUACUCUUCAUGAGUUUUUGUAAGAUGUAUGGUCUCCUUGGAUGUACGUUAUCGAACGAAAGUAUUUUUGGGAGCGGUAUUGCGGUUUAAAGUUUUUAAA